AUUGAACGCUGGCGGCAUGCUUUACACAUGCAAGUCGAACGGUAACAGGUUAAGCUGACGAGUGGCGAACGGGUGAGUAAUGCAUCGGAACGUGCCCGAUCGUGGGGGAUAACGCAGCGAAAGCUGCGCUAAUACCGCAUACGAUCUGAGGAUGAAAGCGGGGGACCGUAAGGCCUCGCGCGAUCGGAGCGGCCGAUGUCAGAUUAGGUAGUUGGUGGGGUAAAGGCCCACCAAGCCGACGAUCUGUAGCUGGUCUGAGAGGACGACCAGCCACACUGGGACUGAGACACGGCCCAGACUCCUGCGGGAGGCAGCAGUGGGGAAUUUUGGACAAUGGGCGAAAGCCUGAUCCAGCAAUGCCGCGUGCAGGAAGAAGGCCUUCGGGUUGUAAACUGCUUUUGUACGGAGCGAAAAGGUCCUUUCUAAUACAAGGGGCUCAUGACGGUACCGUAAGAAUAAGCACCGGCUAACUACGUGCCUGCCGCCGCCGUAA
rnacentral:rRNA from 1 species